rnacentral:tRNA from 1 species
GGAGAGAUGCCAGAGUGGUUGAAUGGGACUGUCUCGAAAACCGUUGUGCGGGCAACCGUACCGAGGGUUCGAAUCCCUCUCUCUCCG